GUUGGUGGUUAUAGAGGGGAGGAAAUACCCAGCCCCAUUCCGAACCUGGCAGUCCGAACCUGGCAGUCAAGCUCCCCAUCGCCGAUAAUACUGACCCCUACGGGGUUGGAAACGUAGGUCACCGCCAACU
rnacentral:rRNA from 1 species